AUGAGAGUCACAAAAACCUUGAAGCUAAAGAUAGUAAUUGUUAUUUGAUGAUGGGUAGUGUCAAACAAGUAGCGCUCACUUGUAUACAGCAUUUAAUAAACUCCAUUAAUAGAGUCUUUCCGAAUGUGUCUAAAAAUAUAGGUCUGAUGUUUAAUAGAUUCAAAUAAUACUAAUGAAUAUGAAAGAUUGAACUAUAUAUUAAUUAGCAAUGCAAAUUAGCCUCCUAUAGUAAUAGGAAUAAGUACUACUCUAAUGAAUAUGAAAAUUUGAACUAUAAAAGAACAAUGCAAAGACUCCUCUAGUUUAGUUAUGGUUGCACUUGAAUCGAGUAAUUAAGCAUGCAAGACUUCAUGUAUUUAGUUAUGGGUUGCACUUGACUUGAGNCUAUAUUUCAAUAGCAACGGUCAAUUUCACUAGAAAAUCAACCAUGUGCAUUUUAUUAUCAUUUAACUAUACAAUGCUGGGGUGAUGUCUCUUUUUGAUAUUUCUUGUCAAAAAUGAAUUUUUGUGUUGAUUAAAAUAUGUGUAUAUAUAUGUUUAUGCAUGUUCUGAUUUAUAUAUGUAAUUAUAUCCUUACUUGUUUUUGGAUAUUUGUUUUUUAAAAAUUUAUUUUUGCCCCAUUUUGGUAUAGGAACCCGUGGUUAUCCUUCAUGGCUUCUGGCUGCUGAAUCACAUCAAAACUACAAUUCGAAGCAGUACGAUCCCUACGGUGAACGGGCCUGAUUUCAAGGUGGGUAUAUCGAUCAUGGAUUUGAGUCAAGAGGUCAAUACCAUGGACCCCGAGCUGGAUCAGGUUAUUGCAAAACUUUAAGUUUACACCCAUCUUGUCUUUCCAAGCCAUGACUCCGGCUAAAUAGAGCGCUGGGAUACCAUGUGACAUAUAAAUCACCCGUCAAUUCAUUAUACUUGUAUAGCUAGUUAAAUGCUCGUCAGUCGUCCCCCUUAGUCUUUGUUCUCUGCAGAUACAAGAGUAUGUAGAGGCUGCAACAUUAUGCAACUUCGUAACUAUGGUUCCACUACCGUGAACAUCUGUAGGUGUAUAUGAUUCUGAAGUUGUAUAUGGACAUGUGUGUUGAUGUUUUAAUAAGAUUUAGGGCUUAAAUUGGUCUGGAAUUAGGGAAUUUAUUAUAUUCCUAAAUUUUGGCUUUGUUAUAUAUGAUGGAGUAUAUGAUUCGUUAAAAUGUUGUGUGCCAUUAGAGUUCAAAUUGAUUUUCUCGUUUCAACCUGCCUCAAAAUUUGCUCUGGUUUUGUUUCCACAGGUGUAGUUUUUCGUGAGCUUGACGGUCUUGGAACGUCAUGGCAUAUAUGCUCAAAGUUCGUUUUGCCUGAUGAGAUGGUAUAUGCCAAGGAGAUGGAGUGAAUCCUGAUUCGGGUGGUUCAUCCACAAUGGCGUUUCUACAGGACAUGGAAGAGAUUGAAGCAAAUGAUCCAUUAAGCUCUGCAGCAAUGGAAAUACAGUGUUACCUCUGGAACCCAACAACCAAGCAGCGCAAGGAACUUCCUAGAUUUCCCCGUUAUGCCAAGGCUUUGGAAGGCAAGGAUCAAGAUAAUAUAUAGCAUUUACUUAUGAUAGUUCAGGUAGUUGUGAAAAAAAAUGCUAGAUUAAUUGUUUAUAUGCUUAUUGGUGCAUAUUGCAAGUAUGUAAAUACAUAUAUGUAUGUACUAUUAUUCUUUCCUUGUAUAUUUAAAAUCGUGUAUAUAUAGGGAUAUGAAUGUUAAAAAUUUAAAUUUAUAUAUUUUUAAGAUACGAGGGUGGAAUAAGCGUGAGUCAAUAUGUGUGUUGUUUUGUUUGUAGAACAAUAGUUGCAACUUAACCAAGACUACUUACUAUGGUCAAAAGAGGUAAAAUAAUAAUUUGAAGAAGAUAAUUUUUGGAAACAGAAUUUUUAGGAUUGACUUUUGAAAAAUAAAAUGAGAAUGUUUAAAAGUUUCGUUAAUCACAUGUAUUGUGUAUCAAAAAGUUUAUUUAAUAAUAUCAAACAAACUUAAUUUUUCUAAAAAAGUCAAGACAUAGUUCAUUUGAAUAAAAUUUGAAAUUAAGAAAUUACUAAUAUAUUUACACACACACACACACUAUAUUUUUCCCCAAUUUAAAAUAUGUGUGCAUAUCUGUUUUCGAAAAAUUUAAUUUUUCAAAAAAUUUUGGUAUACCACAGUUGUUAUCCUAAUCUCUUUCGGAGCAAUACCAUCCCUAUAUAGAACCCACCCGAUUUCUAGGUAUAUGUAGCAUGAACUUGAGCCGAGAGCUCAAUACCUGAUCCCAAAUUCCCGAGUUUGGAUCAUGUUACUGGAUCAAGAAACAUGACCAUGGAGGACUUCGAUGCUGCCGUUGUUGAAGCAUAUGAAGAGUCUUUAGCGAAACAGCAGAGGCAGAUGAAGCAUAUACCAUGUCAAAAAUGACACUAGAGCAUCCUAAUGCCUCACCAUAGGCUUCUGAACAGGAUUAAUCGUAAUUAAAUCCUAAAAUAAGGAGCUCUUGGUAGUUAUAUGACGCUUAGUUUUCAAAAUAUUAAUUCAUGUUGUAGUGUUAUAUGAGUGGGUAUUUGUUUUUAUAGAAAGUUAAGAAAAUUUCAUUUUAAAAAUAUAUGUGUUUUUAGUGUUGCUAAUUAUCAAAAACUGAAUCUUUGAGCUACACACCAUAUAUAUGUUUAUGUGUCUCUCUAUCUCUUCUGGUAAUUUUUUUGCUAAUACUUACGAUCUAAUAUUCAUUAGUUUUGCUAAAAUAAAAAUUCAAUGUUUGAGUGACCUCCUCUGUAUAUAAGGUUUUACAUCAAUAAAGCGGCUAGGUAUGAUAAUUUUUUUGUGGUGAUAGCUAUAAUUUUUUAUGUUAAGGUUUUUAAGUGUACUUAAGUCUGGGUUCCAGCCUAUUAAUUUAUUGUGGUUUUUUCUAGAAAAGUACUAAUUUGGACAUGAUAAAUAGUCAAUAAUAUUGGUUAAUUUUUGCCGGUUAGUUUGACGAGAAAACUCGAAAACUUAACAUGCGAUCAGGUGGGCCUUUGUUCUUUUAGGAAAAAUUAAGAUGAUUAGUGAUUGUUUCCUUCAAUAAAAAUUAACUGGUGAACUCAAAUUUCUUCCGAUUGUCCAACAUUUUGGAUUUUCAUAAGAAUUUAAAACUUGGAUUGUAAAUUCUGAAACCCGGAUAUUAAAGUUUUUAUUGUUAUGCAAUAUAAGAACUUAAGUUACUUAUGAAAUUUGGUUGUGAUAAGUGACACUAACUUAAACAUCAGCUUUAAUAUAGUUUAGUUGUUCUUAUUUUUGACAUGACAAGCAACAAUUUUUUUUCUUGUGAGGGAAUUAGUUAGAACUAAGAGGUGAAUAAGUUUUAAAUUUCUGAUAGUAUACCUCGUUUAAUGAAUUAGUUCACACUUAAUUUUUAAAGUUCUGAUAGAGGUGUUAAGUAUACGGGUGAAUUUAGUAAAAUCAAUGGUAUAGUUUAUGUGAUGACUUCACCAGACACUCUUUAGUCUAAUGAGGUGGUAGAAAGAAAGAGCAUAGCAUUUAAAUAUAUGAUUAAUAUUAUGCUUCUUAAAUAUGGCUUGUGUAUAGAGUAACUAUGGACAAGACGUCUUAUGAAUUAUUGGAAGACAAGAAGACUAGUUUAAAAUAUCUUCGUGUGUGUGUGAGAGUGUCUUACUCUUCGUGUUUGAGAGUGUCUUACUAAAUUACUUGUCCGGGAAAAUAAGAGAAAGAAACAAGGACUAAAAAUUGUUAAUUGCAUCUCUUUGGGCUAUCUUGAAACCUCUAUUAUGAGAUUUUAAGUAAGAAAAUUUAACAUAGAUGGUAUAUUGGCCAACAUGAUAGUUGAAUUUCGUGAUGCAAAAUUAUUUUAGAAUGUGUCAUGAAAACUCGUAUACCUCAUGGUACUUCAUGAUGAUUCUUACUCACACAUCUUUCAUUCGUGAUCAUGUGGAAAUGAUGACAAAUAUAGGAGAGAUCUUGGUAGUAGAUCUACUCUUAAGAGCAACUCCAAUGCAAUGCUAUACUUGGUUCUAUUGCUAUAUUAUAGCAUCAAAAGUAAAAAAACUCAACUCCAAAGGGGUGCUAUAUUUGGAUGCAUCCAUGCUUAGAUGCAUCCUUGGUUCUAUAUUUGAAACCAAGGAUGGAUCCAUCCAUGUUGCCACAUCAUCAAUAACUAGAAAUUGGAAACUAGUUAAUGAGUUAAUGAGUUAGGUAAAAGUUAUGAGUUGGUUCUAUAUAAAAGUUAGGUAAAAGUUGAUGAGUUGGUUAAAUUUGGAACUAGUUAUAGAACUUAGCAUUGGAGUGCAAGUUUUAUUUUAGCACCAAAAAACACUUUUUGGUGCUAUAUUAUAGCAAUAGCAAUAGAUAUAUAGCAUCUAGCAUUGGACUUGCUCUAAUGGAGUAGAUGAAUCUAGAAAUAAGCGUGUAAAGGUAGUCAAAAACUUUGGAAGUAACUUUAUCACUUAUAAUAUCGAGAAUGAACCUCUAUAUUUUCGACAAGCCAUGAAUUCUUCCCUUCCCGAGUCUAGAUAUUGGAAAGGCCCAUUAAAGAGUGAGAUUGAUUGUAUUGUCGAAUUUGUAAGACAUUAUGCACGAAUGAGAUUGGAUAUGAUGAUUGAAAAUAUGUUAAAAAUGGAAUGUGAUUAUUAUUUCAAGUUGUAAAAAAUAUAAUAUAUUAUUUUAUGAUAAUAGAUGAUAUAGAAUCUUGCUACAGGUCUUGUCUUUAGAGGUUGCAGGAAAUGUUUGGCUAUAUUAUUUUACUAGGGGAAUGAUCCUUUGAAGUGCCAUUGUUUUACAUAUUAUCUAGCUUAUGACCCAUGCCAAGCAUAGGUUUAAAUAAUUUUUUAUUUUUUAUUUAUUAUAAUUAUAAUCAUUUUAUUUAGUUACAUUAUAAUCUUCUUAAUAUACUUAUUUACAUUAUCAUAAUCGUUGUUUAGAUAUUAAACUUUCAAUGUAUUAACAUUUAAUCCUAUUUAAAAUUUUGAUUUUAUCUAAAAAACAUAUAUUCUCAAAUACAUGUUAUGAUAUGAAUUUAUUUCAGAAUAAUAUUUUUUAAUUUGACUAAGAUAUUAGAUUUAUUAGAUUGGUUUGGGUAGAAAGAAAAAUCAUAAUAAUCCUGUGUGACAAGGAUAUUAUUGACUUAGGUUGGGACCCAACCAUAUUUUUAUCAAAAUAUUUAGCAAAUUCUAGGUGAUUAUAAAUAUAAGAAGUAUACAUGAGAUGACUAAAAACAUUUGAGAGGUAAAAAUUAAUUUAACUAAUAUAACUUUUAAAAAUUAAAAUUUUAGGAUAUGACUUUCAAAAAUAUAAUAACAAGUUUCUCUAAUUCCGUAAAAUGUAUAUCAAUAUUUUUGUGUAUGAAUAUCAAAUAAUCUCAGUUGUUCUAAAAAGUGGAGGCAUAGUUUAUUUAAAUAAAAUUCAAAAAUUAAGAAGUUAUUAAUAUAGAUAUAUAAAUAAACUAUACACUUGAGUCAAAAAUUUUGAAAACUUUAGUCAUUUGCCUGUUCAAAUAGUUUAUUUGAAUAAAAUAUAAAGAAUAUAACACAAAGUACAUAAAAAAUAAUAAAAAUUAUUGAAUAUCUAAGUCGAAGAAAAUAUACACAAGGAUUGAAAUGAAAUAUCUCUUCUCAAAUAACAUUUUAGUUUAAAGAAAUAUACAUUUUUUUCAUAUUAUUUACCCGAUUUUAUUAUUUUAAUAAAUUGGUGAUAUUAAGAAAUUUGUAGUUUGAAUUUGAUGAUUUUUGAUGGUCAUAGUUAUUUCCAAAACUUAAAAAACCUUUAUACUAGUUGGAUCUCACAAUUUUAAAAGCCCGUUACAUACGUUCUGGAGAGCCCAACCAGCAGGGCCGGUCCUGAGAUUUCGUUGGCCUAGUGCGAAAUUUUUUUUAUGGGCCUUUUAUACAAGACUACUAAAAUGAAUAUUAAAAAAAAUUCCAAGCAAAUUUUGGGAUAAUAUAUAAACAACUAAAUUAAAAGAUUGUAAUUGCCUUUGUUUCCGUGAGAAUUGAAGUCCUAAAUUAGAACUUGAAACUUGAAAGAUAAUUAUAUAAUUGAAUUGAUCGUAUGGUGGAGCAUGUUGCAGCAGUUAACAUGGCAUGUGCUGUGCGUUAAGUUUUAUCAGGGGAAAAAAGCUUCUAAAUUGCAGGUAUAGAGUUAUAGAUGUAUAGUAACAUAUACACCAGACUUAAAAAGGUUUGGGCUCCUAGAUCCAAUGGGCCGAGUGCUGGAGCACUGGUUGCACUGGUCCAGGGCCGGCACUGCCAACCAGGCCCAAAAUUAGCAUACCAAAAUCACGUAUUUUGGGGUCUUAGGGUUUGCCUAUUAGGGUUUGCCUAUUUAGUCUGGUGGUUGCGCCACACUACUUGUGCUCUGCCCUGCCAUUCUGAAGCUGCUAUUAUGAAUGAUGAGUAUAUUAUUUAUCCUCAUGAUACAUGCCAAGUAAGUGUUAUAGGUAGAUUUAACAAUUUAUUCAAUCUUUCAUUUACAUCGAUUUCAAUCGAAUCCUUAAUUGGCUUAUGAUGUAUUAAAAUGAUUAGUUUUUGAAGAAUUAAUAUGUUUUGAUGUACAAACAAACUCGAAUAAGCUCACCUUUGUUGGUCUAGGGGUUUUAAUAGUCUGUAUGAUAUGUGAUACUAGGCUCAAUUAUCAAGGGUGUACUUGUACUUACUCAUUGCUUCCGUUCCUUUCAAGUGCUAUCUAUGUGUUCUUUGUUUAAUCUUGUGAUUAAUCUUAUCUGUUUGUGUUGGUUGCUCUGCAGGUGGAAAGGAGGAGGGGUUUUGAAAACAAAGAGGAAAUAGAUAAUGUAUGGUGAUAAUUGAUGUUAAAGUUUGCCAAUUUACUAGAGAUGACAUAAAAUGUUGGAAAAAAUUGUAGAAAGUUCAACUCACAACUUUAUUGUGGCCCACGUUGAAUUUUCUUCUCAAUAUGAUCUCAAGAAAUUUUUUUUAUCAUCUUGAGUUUAGCUUCUUAUAGAUUUAUUUUGUUUAACUCACCUACCAUAUUCUUUAGUGUUCAACUAAUAUAUAUUAAUGAAAUACUUGCAGCAAAUAAUGAAGAAAAUGCUCCAUGAGAAUCAUGUCCAUGACACCUCUGUCAAGGUAAUUUUAUUUUUCUUUCACAUAAAUAGAUUAUGUAUUGAUAUGUAUAUAUAUAUGGUCAUGUCCAUGAUUUUUUUUGUUGAUUAAAAUAUGUGUAUAUAUAUGGUUAUGCCUGGUCUGAUUCAUAUAUGUAAUUAUAUCUUUACUUGUUUGUUUUUGAAGAUGGAGAUGGAGUGAAUCCUGAUUUGGCGAUUCAUCCACAAUGGCGUUUCUACAGGAUAUGGAAGAGGAGACAAACAAAGAUGGAGAGGAUCCUGAUAUGGUUGGUUCAACCACAGUGAUGUUCCCUUUUGUUUCUCUGUGAGAAGCGUGGGAGGAGAUGGAAUCAAAUGAUCCAUUAAUCCUUCUGCAGCAAUGGAUAUACAGUGUUACCUCUGGAACCCAACAACCUAGCAGUGCAAGGAACUUCCUAGAUUUCCCCGUUAUGCCAAGGCUUUGGAAGGCAAGGAUACCCUCUCCGAUGACUACAAAGUUGCUUCGCACAGGUUCAAGACGCAUAAAGUAAAGCCCAUGGACCAAAAGAAUUCUAAGUUUAGGAGGUAGUGAAAAAAAAUGCUAGAUUAAUUGUUUAUAUGCUUAUGGGUGCAUAUUGCAAGUAUGUAAAUACAUACAUGUAUGUACUAUUAUUCUUUCCUUGUAUAUUUAAAAUCAUGUAUAUAUAUGUAUAUGAUUUUUAAAAUUUUAAUUUUUAAGGUACGAGGGUGGAAUAAGUGUGAAUCAAUAUGUGUGUUGUUUUGUUUGCAGAACAAUAGUUGCAACUUAAUCAAGACUACUUACUAUGGUCAAAAGAGGUAAAAUAAUAAUUUGAAGAAGAUAAUUUUUAGAAACAGAAUUUUUAGGAUUGACUUUUGAAAAAUAAAAUGAGAAUGUUUAAAAGUUUCGUUAAUCACCUGUAUUGUGUAUCAAAAAAGUUUAUUUAAUAAUAUCAAACAAACUUAUUUUUUCUAAAAAAGUCAAGACAUAGUUCAUUUGAAUAAAAUUUGAAAUUAAGAAAUUACUAAUAUAUUUACACACAUACACUAUAUUUUUCCCCAAUUUAAAAUAUGUGUGCAUAUCUGUUUCGAAAAAUUUAAUUUUUCAAAAAUUUUGGUAUACCACCGUUGUUAUCCUAAUCUCUCUCGGAGCAAUACCAUCCCUAUAUAGAACGGACCCGAUUUCCAGGUAUAUGUAUCAUGGACUUGAGCCGAGAGCUUAAUACCUGAUCCCAAAUUCCCGAGUUUGGAUCAUGUUACUGGAUCAAGAAACAUGACCAUGGAGGACUUCGAUGCUGCCGUUGUUGAAGCAUAUACCAUGUCAAAAAUGACACUAGAGCAUCCUAAUGCCUCACCAUAGGCUUCUGAACAUGAUUCAUUUAAUCGUAAAUCCUCAUUUAAUUAUAGUACCUAAGCUAAUUAUAUAUCAUGAUACCUAAUUAUAGCUCGAAUGAAUGAUACAUUACGGAGUUCAAGAAACCAAUAAUGGAAUAAAAUUUGUAAAAAUAAGGAGCUCUUGGUAGUUAUAUCGACGCUUAGUUUUCAAAAUAUUAAUUCAUGUUGUGUUGUAUGAGUGGGUAUUUGUUUUUAUAGAAAGUUAAGAAAAUUUCAUUUUAAUAAAUACAUGUGUUUUUAGUGUUGCUAAUUAUCAAAAACUGAAUCUUUGAGCUACACAACAGAUAUAUGUUUAUGUGUCUCUCUAUCUCUUCUGGUAAUUUUUUUGCUAAUACUUACGAUCUAAUAUUCAUUAGUUUUGCUAAAAUAAAAAUUCAAUGUUUGAGUGACCUCCUCUGUAUAUAAGGUUAUACAUCAAUAAAGCGGCUAGGUAUGAUAAUUUUUUUGUAGUGAUAGCUAUAAUUUUUAAUGUUAAGAUUUUUAAGCGUACUUAAGUGUGGGUUCCCGCCUAUCAAUUUAUUGAGGUUUUUUCUAGAAAAGUACUGAUUUGGACAUGAUAAAUAGUCAAUAAUCUUGGUUAAUUUUUGCCGGUUAGUUUGACGAGAAAACUCGAAAACUUAACAUGCGAUCAGGUGGGCCUUUGUUCUUUUAGGAAAAAUUAAGAUGAUUAGUGAUUGUUUCCAUCAAUAAAAAUUAAGUGGUGAACUGAAAUUUCUUCCGAUUGUCCAACAUUUUGGAUUUUCAUAAGAAUUUAAAACUUGGAUUGUAAAUUCUGAAACCCAGAUAUUAAAGUUUUUAUUGUUAUGCAAUAUAAGAACUUAAGUUAUCCAUGAAAUUUGGUUGUGAUAAGUGACACUAACCUAAACUUCAGCUUUAAUAUAGUUUAGUUGUUCUUAUUUUUGACAUGACAAGCAACAAUUUUUUUUCUUGUGAGGGAAUUAAUUAGAACUAAGAGGCGAAUAAGUUUUAAAUUUCUGAUAGUGUACCUCGUUUAAUGAAUUAGUUCACACUUAAUUUUUAAAGUUCUGAUAGAGGUGUUAAGUAUACGGGUGGUAUAGUUUAUGUGAUGACUUCACCAUACACUUUUUAGUCUAAUGAGGUGGUAGAAAGAAAGAGCAUAGCAUUUAAAUAUAUGAUUAAUAUUAUGCUUCUUAAAUAUGGCUUGUGUAUAGAGUAACUAUGGACAAGACGUCUUAUGAAUUAUUGGAAGACAAAAAGACUAGUUUAAAAUAUCUUUGUGUGUGUGAGAGUGUCUUACUCUUCGUGUGUGAGAGUGUAUUACUAUAUUACUUGUCCGGGAAAACAAGAGAAAGAAACAAGGACUAAAAAUUGUUAAUUGCAUCUCUUUGGGCUAUCUUGAAACCUCUAUUAUGAGAUUUUUAGUAAGAAAAUCUAACAUAGAUGGUAUAUUGGCCAACAUGAUAGUUGAAUUUUGUGAUGCAACAUUAUUUGAGAAUGUGUCAUGAAAACUCGUAUACCUCAUGGUACUUCUGAUGAUGAUUUCUUACUCACACAUCUUUCAUUCCUGAUCAUGUGGAAAUGAUGACAAAUAUAGGAGAGAUCUUGGUAGUAGAUCUACUCUUAAUGGAGUAGAUAAUCUAGAAGUAAGCGUGUAAAGGUAGUCAAAAACUUUGGAUGUGACUUUAUCACUUAUGAUAUCGAGAAUGAACCUCUAAAUUUUCGACAAGCCAUGAAUUCUUCCCUUCCGGAGUCUAGAUAUUGGAAAGGCCAUUAAAGAGUGAGAUUGAUUGUAUUUUCAAAUUUGUAAGACAUUAUGCGUGAAUGAGAUUGGAUAUGAUGAUUGAAAAUAUGUUAAAAAUGGUAUGUGAUUAUUAUUUCAAGUUGUAAUAAAUAUAAUAUACUCCCUCCGUCCCUUUUUACAUGUCCCUUUUGAAAAAAAAAAUUGUCCCAAAUUACUUGUCCACUUCUCUUUUCAAAGCAACUUUUUGUAUGUUUUUUCAAAAUGUAACAACUUCCAAUGUUUGACUAGCAUAUAUAUAUACACAACUCUAUCUAAUUCAUUACAUUUAUGAGGGAUAUGUAUGAAAACAAGAUAUCCAUCUAACAUUUUCUUAAGAUGCAUUAUUUUUUCAAAAGGGACAAGUAAAAAGGGACGGAGGGAGUAUUAUUUUAUGAUAAUAGAUGAUAUAGAAUCUUGCUACAGGUCUUUAGAGGUUGCAGGAAAUGUUUGGCUAUAUUAUUUUACUAGGGGGAAUGAUCCUUUGAAGUGCCAUUGUUUUACAUAUUAUCUAGCUUAUGACCCAUGCCAAGCAUAGGUUUAAAUAAUUUUUUAUUUUUUAUUUAUUAUAAUUAUAAUCAUUUUAUUUAGUUACAUUAUAAUCUUCUUAAUAUACUUAUUUACAUGAUCAUAAUCGUUGUUUAGAUAUUAAAUUUUCAAUGUAUUGACAUUUAAUCCUAUUUAAAAUUUUGAUUUUAUCUAAAAAACAUAUAUUCUCAAAUACAUGUUAUGAUAUGAAUUUAUUUCAGAAUAAUAUUUUUUAAUUUGACUAAGAUAUUAGAUUUAUUAGAUUGGUUUGGGUAGAAAGAAAAAUCAUAAUAAUCCUGUGUGACAAGGAUAUUAUUGACUUAGGUUGGGACCCAACCAUAUUUUUAUCAAAAUAUUUAGCAAAUUCUAGGUGAUUAUCGAAAUAUAAGAAGUAUAAAUGAGAUGACUAAAAACAUUUGAGAGGUAAAAAUUGAUUUAACUAAUAUAACUUUUAAAAAUUAAAAUUUUAGGAUAUGACUUUCAAAAAUAUAAUAACAAGUUUCUCUAAUUCCGCAAAAUGUACAUCAAUAUUUUUGUUUAUGAAUAUCAAAUAAUCUCGUGGAGGCAUAGUUUAUUUAAAUAAAAUUCAAAAAUUAAGAAGUUAUUAAUAUAGAUAUAUAAAUAAACUAUACACUUGAGUCUAACUUUUUGAAAACUUUAGUCAAUUGCCUAUUCAAAUAGUUUAUUUGAAUAAAAUAUAAAAAAUAUAACACAAAGUACAUAAAAAAUAAUAAAAAUUAUUGAAUAUCUAAGUCAAAGAAAAUAUACACAAGGAUUGAAAUUAAAUAUCUCUUCUCAAAUAACAUUUUAAUUUAAAGAAAUAUACAUUUUUUACAUAUUAUUUACCCAAUUUUAUUAUUUUAAUAAAUUGGUGAUAUUAAGAAAUUUGUAGUUUGAAUUUGACGAUUUUUGAUGGUCAUAGUUAUUUCCAAAACUUAAAAAACUCUUAUAAUAGUUGGAUCUCAAAAUUUUAAAAGCCCGUUACAUACGGAGAGNUAUAUUAUAUCUUCACUUGUUUUAGCUUAUUUUUGUUUUGAAAAAUUUAAUUUUUUUUUUCCAAUCUUGAUACAGGACAUGUGGUUAUCCUUCAUCACUACCUGCUGCUGAACCACAUCAAAGUUACAACUCGGAGCAGUAUGAUCCUUACCAAGAACGGGGUCGAUUUCCACGUGGGUAUAAGGAUCAUGGACGUGAUCCAAAAAAUCAAUACUAUAUAUCCGGAAUUCCCGAGGCUGGAUCAGGUAAUUGAAUAUUUUGAUUUUUUUUUCCCUAGUUUUGGUGGUUUACAACUACUAAUCUUUAAGAUUCACACUUCUGCUUAUUAUAUAGGAGUUGCAACUUGCAAAAUCAUAUGUUUAGAUCAACAUGUGUGUGAAUUUAUUAUUUUAAUUUGUAGUGAUUGUUGUGUGGCUGUCACUGAUUUUUUACUUGUUUUUUUAAAUUAAAUUUUAUAUUUGAUAAGAGUGUAAACAUAUACUUUAAGUAUUGUGAAAUGUUGUUUGCAUGUUGUCGAGAAUAUAUGCUAUGGACGGUAUGUUGUACCUAAUAAAUGACAAGAGAGGCUUGUAAAAUCUCCGCUUGUAGAUCUGAAAUUAACACUAUUAAUUAUCUAAUUUGCCUUCAAGAAUUACUCUCAAAGGCUGAAUUUAUGAUUCAUUAGUGUUGUAAACAAAAAGUGUGUAGAUUGAUUGAUGGCUAAAAGAUUGCACCUAAGUCGGUAAUUAUAUAUCUUGAUGUUGUAAAAUUAAUUUUGUUUCAUCUCUCAUCUGCAUAAUUUAUUCUAUAUGUGUUAAUUAUGAUAUUAUGUGAUUCGGGAGAUUUUUUUUGUCACAAAUAUAGUACAUAAUUUUUUACAAGCGUGUUUAUUGUGAACUCCUCCGCCUGGCCGCCUAUAUGAAUUUUGAAAUCAUAAUCAAUGCAUAGUUAUCUAUUGUGUUUUGGCUUUAAAGGUUGAACUUUCAAGCUCAGAAGUCAGCCAUAAAGAAGAAAAGUUUGGAGCUAUAACUAUAACAUACUAUCUUUGAAGUUAUGAAUUAUGCUACUUUACAGUUUGUCACUUGCACUUUACAAUUAUUUAUGUGCUUAUUUAUGUAUGUCUUUACAUACAUGAGUUGAAGGUACUAACAGAACUACUUAGUGUCUGUACUAUGUAUAUUACUAUUAUUACUCACAAAACAAGUUUCGAUUGUAAUAAAUAUUAGAAUCUGAAAUUUAAAUGUUGAAACGUCGAGUGGGAGGUUGAAAAAUUUAGAGGUUGAAAAAUUUAAAAGUUGAAAGGUUUAAGAGCAAGGUGAGUUUUAUAUUACUUUUGAGUCACCGAAAGUCAACUAUAUAAGCCUUAUUUAUAGGAAACUGAAGUUUAUGUGCAACCUGGUUCUGCAUGUUAAACUUUUGUUAUACUUGCUAUCUUAUUCUUUCGGGUUUUAUUUUUUAAUUGUCAAUAUUGACGGUUAAGAACCUUAGAAAUAUAGUAACAAGUUUUUAUAUCUUGAUUCAGUGAGUGACGGGGAAGAGGGGUACACCUAUGAGGCAUUCUAAACCGGCUUCUUCAGUUCAGGUAUGUCUCUACUGAAGCAAACAAACACAUUCAUUUAAUCCCGAAUUUGGUAGUAUCGAUCUGUGUAGUUUCAGGUAUGAUUGGCACAUAGCUCGGGUGCAGAAACAUAUAGCCCCUUUUACCCUUUUUCCACCAUCGCCUCUUCUUUAAAAUAUACCCUGUACUAUAGAGACCUCUCUCUCAAAAAAAGAAGAAUUAAAUCCCAUUAUAAUUUAAUUUAUUGCUCCUCAUAAAGAAUUGUUUAAAUGCCAAGGGAAAGGUCUUGCUUGUGAGAUGUGAGACACCACACUCAAUCCUGAAUACAAGUAAAAGUUUCUUUGCCGGUGGAAUGGGGAACCUCCUAUAAUCAUCCAAAUUGAUCGAAGAAAUGAAUUACAAGUAUAGUUAGCCCUGUUGGAAUGUACAAUCAACCUUAAUUGGGUUAUCAGCUCAAGACUGAAAUUUCCAAAUUUCUACAAAAUACAAUUCUAACCAGCCUUGAUAGAGUAUUCAUACUGGUCCAUAUUUUGUCCUUCUGCAGACAUUCGUGAACCAAAUUAUAAAAAAACAUAUUAGCCUGUGACCAUUAGGUUGGAACUAGCAAUUAUUUGAGUUUUUAUGAAAACACUGUAUACUACAAAAAGUGAUAAGGAACAGGUGUUCUAUUCUUCGUUUGUAACAUGCAGGAAGUGCCAAAAGUAACAGCUCCAGGUCCUGAUCGGCCAAGCUCUGUGCAGGUUCCUAACAAAACUAAGCUUCAUAAUAGUUUUUUCCGAAGUCAUGGAAUAUAUUUAUAUCAUUCUGGUGUACAGUAUUUUAGCAGCUGACACUUCUAUAUCCUUUAUAGGGUUUUCACGACGGAGCUGCGGCAUUCUAUGCCACAACUGUAGCUUCUCCUACCCUCCAUCCCUAUAUGGGGAGAAGUCAGGUGUUACUUUAUCUUAUGCUUAGCUUUGUAUUUCUGAUUCCUUUGCUGCCUUUUUAUCGGUCCCAUUACACUCAAAAAGCUUUUGCUUAAUAUGUGUUACAAGGAGUACAAUAUGGAUCAGGGACGCCCUUCUAGGUUGACUUUGCUUUCUUAUAUCUGAAAUCUAAUAGCUAAUGAACUAAAGUAUGUGGAUAUACUUUUCUUUGUUUGUCAUUGCAGAAGAAAAAUUAUUCCAUCUGUGUUGAAAAGAAAUGCACAAUUUUAGUUUUUUAAACAUUAAAUUGAAACUUUACACAAGUGUUCUAAUAAAGUUAAAUCUUGGGUUAACAGGAUAAGUUUGAGCUGAGGAGAGAAAAAAGAAACUGAAUUAAUCUGGAGUCAGCUAGGAGAUCAAGACUAGGCAAACAGGUAGGAUUUAUUAGUUGCUCCCUCUAGAAGAAGAAGAGCGUGUUAGAUGAGGAGCGUACCGAAGAGGCCUUCACAAUUCACCAAAGUCAACUUCUCAAGCAUAGGACAAUCGAAGAUAUGUUCUUCAGCAAUAACAACAUCAAUCAGCUCAAGAUUUUUCAAACAAGCAAGUCCUCCAGAUUCAGGUCAAGUAUAGGGAAACCAAACAUUAAAAAGCCUCAAAUGUGUCAGAUUCAAAGAAGAGAAAUUCAGUGCUGUAGAAUCUUCCGACAAAGCCCUGUAUAGUAAGUUGCUUAAUACCAUUCCUUGUGUAACACAAAGGUUAUUGUUUUUCUUUUGUAACACUAACGGCCGGCCAUGGUGCCUUGGGAGGUGCAUGCAGCUGCUCCCUGCACACACCUUGUCAUUGCAUGUAAUCAGACUUAUACAUCAAAAUAAAAUCUCUUUGGAAAAUUAGACCUCUCCAUAAAGUUGAAAUGCCGCAUCAUUCAUUCACGUAUAAGCUGGUGGAAAAAUACAGAUUAUUGUUCAUGUUUUGAUUUAUUACCAUGAUAUUCCCAUCAUGUGUGUGGAUUUUAAUGAACAUUUAAAAAAAAAAUAUAAGUGAAAAAAAUAUAAGUGUCUUGUAUAUAUGUUUUUGUUUGAAUUUGUAAAUAAUUACUUCAACCAUAUUCGUUUCCACUCAACCAAACACAUGAUAUCUGAAAUGAUAACUUAAAUCCAUACCACCUUAAUUUCAAUCCCAUAUCCCUCUCCAACCAAACAACCCCUAAGUACUACUAAUGAAUAUGAAAAUUUGAACUAUCAUGCAGCACAAAAGCCCUCUUGAAGCUUAGUUGUGAGUUUCAUUUGACUUAGAUUGAUGACGCAUGCACAUUUUUAUUAUCUCUUUUAUUUUAAUCACAACCGAUGUUGGCCCGCAUAUGUUUUAUUAUCGUCUAAUAUUACACGUUAUCCCUAAUUCCACUCACAUACUUGUCACUUAAAUAUGAAGCCGCCUUGAAGCAUUCUCUUAAUUCUUGUUGUUUUCUAUCUUGUUACCCUCUAAAUAAAAGAAUUGGAUAAAUAAACAGAACAAACAAGAGGUUUGGAGAAGGCAAAAGAGGAUCUUGAUGCAGUGACAGAUCAGUACAACUCCCAUUUAGUGAAAGAACUUUAACGAAUUGAUUACCGGAAAGCUGCAGUCAUAGAUCAGUACCUUUCCCAAUCAGUCUAUUACUGGAAAUUAAGACGAGCUCUCGAGGUUCUGUUAAAAAAAAAAAAAAAAAAAAAAAAAAAACGAAAAAAAAAAAAAAAACCAGAUUUGAAUGAUCCUGUAUUAAGANNNNNNNNNNNNNNNNNNNNNNNNNNNNNNNNNNNNNNNNNNNNNNNNNNNNNNNNNNNNNNNNNNNNNNNNNNNNNNNNNNNNNNNNNNNNNNNNNNNNNNNNNNNNNNNNNNNNNNNNNNNNNNNNNNNNNNNNNNNNNNNNNNNNNNNNNNNNNNNNNNNNNNNNNNNNNNNNNNNNNNNNNNNNNNNNNNNNNNNNNNNNNNNNNNNNNNNNNNNNNNNNNNNNNNNNNNNNNNNNNNNNNNNNNNNNNNNNNNNNNNNNNNNNNNNNNNNNNNNNNNNNNNNNNNNNNNNNNNNNNNNNNNNNNNNNNNNNNNNNNNNNNNNNNNNNNNNNNNNNNNNNNNNNNNNNNNNNNNNNNNNNNNNNNNNNNNNNNNNNNNNNNNNNNNNNNNNNNNNNNNNNNNNNNNNNNNNNNNNNNNNNNNNNNNNNNNNNNNNNNNNNNNNNNNNNNNNNNNNNNNNNNNNNNNNNNNNNNNNNNNNNNNNNNNNNNNNNNNNNNNNNNNNNNNNNNNNNNNNNNNNNNNNNNNNNNNNNNNNNNNNNNNNNNNNNNNNNNNNNNNNNNNNNNNNNNNNNNNNNNNNNNNNNNNNNNNNNNNNNNNNNNNNNNNNNNNNNNNNNNNNNNNNNNNNNNAAAGACGAGCUCUCGAGGUGUUUGUUAUCCGUUUCACUGUACCUGUUUUUUAUAUAAUUAAGCACACUCAUACACUUAUCUUGUCUUUCCAAGCCUUGACGUACUAGAGUAAAUAGAGCGCCGGGUUAUCAUGUGACCUAUAAAUCAUUGGUCAAUGCAUCAUUCCCUGUUUAUUAGUGUUGCUCACUGAAAGUUGAAUUUCAAUAGAGUACUCAUGUGAAUAAAUAUUAAAUUUGUUUGUGGUGUCUAACAGUUACAUUGUUAAAUCAAUCUCUGAUCUUUUUAAUUAUAAGAAACUCAAUAACUAAAAAGAUUGAUAUUUAUCCAUUAGCAUAGCAUUUAAUUUUUUUUCCUUCUAAAAAAAUCUUUGGAUUACGUAAUAAAUAUAUGUAAAUUGGGCUUGUGUGGGCUUGUGUGCUCUUCUUGCACAGGUGUGAGAGUGUUGUUGAACAUAAUAUCUUUCAUUUUAUUUGUUAUAAAAACACAUUUUCCUCAAAAUAUUAGGUGAAAAUAUUUGAGAGGUAAAAUUAAUUUAACUAGUAUACAGAAUUAAUUUUUUGGCUCACUACCGAAAAUAAAAUGACAAAUUUCUUCAAUUGCAUAAAAUGUGUAUCAAAAUUUUUAUUCAUGAAUAUCAAAUAAUCUUAAUUAUUCUAAAAAAAGCGAAGACAUAUAAAGUUUAUUUGUAUAAAAUUUGAAAAAUAAGAAGUUAUUAAUAUAGAUAUAAGAUACUACACAUUUGGGUCUUAGUAUUUGAAAAUAUUAUACGUUUACCUAUUCAAAUAAUUUAUUUGAAUAUAAUACAUAAAAAUAUUAAAAUAUAAACAUGCAACACAAAAUAAAUAGAAAAAUAGUAGAAAUAAUUGAAUAUCUAAAUCAAAGAAAAUAUACCCCUGCAGACUCGAAAUGAAAUAUCUCUUAUCAAAUCACUCAUAUUUUUCAUGAAUUUUAUUUUACAAAAAUAUAAAAACUUUUCAUAUUAUUUACAGAUUAUAUUAUUAUAAUAAAUUGAUGGUAUUAAGAAAAUUGUAAUUCGAAUCAAGUAUGUUUAUGAUCACCAUUGUUAAUUUUGUUGUCAUGAGGUCACAAAACUCAAAAAGCCCUUUGUACUAAAAAAAAAAGUUAAAAGACAAUUUUUUUUGAGUUAUUUUGAUUUUCAUUAGAUCUCAAAAGCCCAACUACUUAUCCUAAAAGCCCAACUACCCACCCCAAAACUAACAUAGUAAAAUAUAAAAGUUUGUUAUCCUCCUGAUGAGUCAUGAGUCACAUAGAUCAUAGAGAAGAAAAUCCAAAAAUUACUAAUAAUAUUAUCAUGAACUAUUUUAUAUCUAUAAAAUAUAUAAUAAAAUAAAAAAUCCCAUAUAAAAUUAAAUUAUAUUAUUUUAUAAAUUUAAAAGUCCUAAAAAUAUAAAAAAUUUCACUAUAUAAUAUAAUUUAUGUUAAACAAAACUUCACGUGCAUGCUUAGCACACAUAGAAAACUAGCUAGUAUAACAAAAAUAUAUUAUAAUUAUUUGUACUUAAUAAAGCACUUAAUUUUCCACCGAAAAUAGACAGAAUAGUUUGUUCAAAAGAAUAAUAUCGAAAAUAUAAAAAUUAUUGAUAUAAGUAUAUAAUUUUUUUAUACAUAUUUGUUUGGGGUCUUAUCCCAAAGUCUUAGCUAGGGUUUGCCUACUGAGGCUGAUUGUAGCGCCGCUCUGUGCCUCUGCCCAAAAAUUCCUAGUGCUCCGAUUAUGAAUGAUUGGUAUAUUAUUCACCCUCCUUGUACAUACCAAGUAAGUGUUAUAGUCUUAUAGGUAGUUUAACAAUCUUUUCAACCUUGAAUUCAAAUCGAUUUCAAUCGAAUCCUUAGUUGACUUAUGAUGUGCAUAAAAAUUAUGAGUUUUCGAAGAAUUAAUAUGUUUUUAUGUUUUGAUAGUAUGUAUGAUGUGUGAUACUAUGCUCAAUCAAGGGUGUACUUGCUGCAUACACUCCAUUCACGGUUGUAAAGCUCAGUAUUAUACAUAUAUGAGUUGCAGAAGACUCAUUGCUUCCUUUCGUUUCAUGUACCUGCAGCUAUGUUUUCUUUAUUUAAUUUUGUGAUUGAUCUUAUAUGGUUCUGCAGGGUUGUCGACAGUGGAAAGGAGGAGGGGGUUUUGAAAACGAAGUACCAAUGGUAAUUGAUGCUAAAUUUUGUCAAUUUACGAGACAUGACAUAAAAUCUUGGAUAUAUUUGUAGAAAGUUCAGGGCACACAUUGAAUUCUCUUUGCAAAAUGCUCCUAAAAAAUUAUUUUUGAUAUCUUCUAGUUAAUUUAUUAUAUAUUUUUAAGCAGAAUUCACCCAUCAUAUUAAUUCUUUAGUGUUCAACUAAUAUGUAUCAAUGAAAUGCUUGUAGAGAAUAAUGAAGAAAAUGCUCCAGAAAGGAUUGACAUUAAUGUUCAUGGCAUAUAUGUGAAGGUAAUGGUAUUUUGCUUUCAUAGAAAGAAAUUAUUUAAUUAUACUAUAGUAUUGAAUUGAUGAUGAGGGUUAAUAUCAUUGUGCCCUUUAAUAUUUGUUCCCUUAUACAUAUUGUUGGCUAUAGAACUUGGAAAAUCAUAAAACUUUUUUAUAUUUGAUUAUUUUUUUAUUACUUGCUUACAUGUGCUGGAGUUACGAGGAAAACUCUGGAGAAAGAGAGAGAGAGAGAGAGCUAUGAGAGUCACAGAAACCAUGAAUCCAGAGAUAGUGAUUAGUAGUUGAUGUUAGGUGGUGUCAAACCAAGUAGCGCGUGAGGUUGAUGAAAAAGAUAAUUCACUUGCAUACAACUAGUUGCUAAACUCCAUUAGUAUGAGCCUUCCUGGUGUGCCUUUCAAAUAUAGGUUUAUUGCUGAUGUUUGAUAUGAAUAAGUACCGGUAAUGGAUAUGAAAAAUUGAGCUAUCAAACAGCAAUGCAAAGCCUCCUGCAGGAAUAGGAAUAAGUACUACAGAUGAAUAUGAAACUUUGAACUAUCAAGCAACAAUGCAAAGCCUCUUAUAGUUUAGUUAUGGGUUGCACUAGACUUGAGUAAUGGGUUGCACACACGCAAAGCUUCCCGUAUUUUAGUUAUGGGUUGCACAGGGCUUGAGUUAUCAUGCAUACGUAAUGAGAAUACGCAUUUCUCAGGUUCAUUAUCAUUUAACAAUACACUGGUGGGGUAGGAUUUUUGUUUGUUAUUUCUUGUCAAAAAUGAAUUUUUCUGCUCAUUAAGAUAUGUGUCUAUAUAUGUUUAUGCAUAUAUCAGGUCUGAUUCGUUUAUUUAUAUCUGUAAUUACAUCUUCACUUGUUUUUG
rnacentral:lncRNA from 1 species